UUAGUGGUCCAUAACCUUCAACUUUUGACUAGGGUGUCAAGUCAUUUGGCAGUGUUGAUGAUCUGUUCCUUCAGGUCUCUGACAAGCUCUUCCUGUGAAUCUCUCAGCUGUAAAGAAAGAGAAGGCAAGGGGAUGUAACUGAAGAGACUGAUGAUUCCCAAAGAAGGUUUUCAUUUUUUCCCCUGCUAUGAAAAAGAGUACUCAAGGAAAAGAAGUCAGAGAGUGAAGGAGAAGGCUUAUUCCUUAUGAUGGCAAUUUCAGGUGAAAACAAAUAGAUAAUGUUUUCCCUUCUAAGGACCACCAUCACUAUAUCCCCAAAAUUUAAUAUAAUGUUUUACUGUUUUAAUUUUCUUUUAAUAAAAUUACUAUUUUUUCUAUAAUUUCUUCAUUUAUAAACAGUUUAUUAGGAUUAAGUUAUUUAGUAUCCUUUUGUGUAUGAAUUCUUUUUCUCCCUAACUAUCUUAUAUUGCUUAAAAUUUUUGCUGUGUUAUUGACUAAUUACCUUUAUGCAUAAAGGAAUAAAGGAUACAUGCACAUACACAUGUCAUUUUCUAUUUCCAUUCAGUAACCCACAGAGAUUUCUCAUAUCUAAGUUUUUAGAAUUUCUAUAAAAAUUCUCCCCUUCUUCCUUAUUUUUUGAAUUGUUCAACUAUACAAUUUCCCCACACACACCCACUAUUUCUCUAUAGGAGUCAUUCAAACUUUUCUUUAAAUACUUAGAUUCUAUAUCAUGUGGUGAAUAUAUGUUUAUUAUUGAUAAUAUAGUUUGUCCAUGGUACCUUUAAAUAUAAUAUUUUUUCUGUGUUAAAUCUCUUUUGAUUAUAUCCAUCUCUACUGUUGUCCUACAUAAGAUCAUGGUUACUAUCCCUGCUUUUUUGUUUCCUAGUUCGUUUGAAACUAUUAAAUUCUGCCCCAGA